rnacentral:lncRNA from 1 species
AGCGUUCAAGCAGUGAGAAAUGGAGCUGUCGUAAAACACGGCCAAGCACAUCGUAGACGUUUCCUGGUUCUUGCACUUGACUAUAUGAACUUUACCUCUGCUGACCGGUUUUAUGUCAGCUUGA